CAACGAAUUGUGUUAGUAUACAAAUCUUCAUUAAAAGCUGAAUAACAGUCAAUUACAACAAUAGUUUGAAGCAACUUAAUUAAAAAAAGAUUGUAAAGUGCUACAACAAUAAACCUAUAAUUAGCUAUCUCAAUUUUUCGUCGUAAUCUUUAGAAGAAUUAUAAUCAUCGUCAGCAACACGGUCUUGCUUAUGGAAUUGUGGAUCCUCACUUCCAAUUGAAUGUUAGAACAGGAGGUUCCGAGCAGGAAUGCUUCGAGAUUUGAAAAGUAAUGAGAUCUUGGAUCAAGACGGAACCGUGGACACCACUUUCCGAAAAGAGUAUUUCCACCCUACAUGGCUUGGCUAUCAGGAAAUCCCUUCCGAUGAUAAGACUGUCUACACUUGAAUUCUUAAACUUUAGAAACAAGAGUAAUU
rnacentral:lncRNA from 1 species